rnacentral:tRNA from 1 species
AUGUGGCUCAGCUGGUAGAGUGUUUGCCUGGCAUGCAUGAGGCCCUGGGUUCAAUCCUCAGCAU